GUGCUUGCUACGGCUGCACAUAUACUAAAAUUGGAUCGAUACAGAGAAAAUUAGCAUGGCCCCUGCGAAAGGAUGGCACGCAAAUCUGUGGAGCGUUCCAUAUUUUG
ensembl:snRNA U6 U6 spliceosomal RNA